rnacentral:lncRNA from 1 species
UUUCUUCUCUCUUCCACCUGGUAGACUUCUACUCUUCCUUCAAGGGUCAGCCGGAGUGGCAUCCUUUUGAAGUUUCUUCUGUCUCCCUGACCAGCUGUGAGCCCUCUAGGGCUAAGACAGUGGCUUCCUAACCUGGUCUGGGCACUUUAACACUAGCACAGGACUUGGCACAAGGUUCUGUGGAUGAGGCAUGGUGCUUGGCACAGACUGACACACGUUGGGGCAAACUUGGCAGAGCAGCCUAACCCAAAGCAAAAAACAGAAAUGAACCAAGAUACAACCUCUGUGGAAAACCCUACUGAACAAAAGCAACCCUGUGGAGUGUCCUCUCAGCUGCAAAUUGAGACAGAAUUGUGGGGCAAGCUUGGCCACUGAUGCAGGUGAUGGGCCCGGGGCUGGGAUGAACAAUGGGGACA